AUACUACUCCCUCCGUCCCAAAUUACUUGUCACAAGUAUGGAUGUAUCUAGAUGUAUUUUAGUUCUAGAUACAUCCAUUUCUGCGACAAAUAAUUUGGGACGGAGGGAGUACAUG
rnacentral:pre_miRNA from 1 species